rfam:Paracoccus seriniphilus strain DSM 14827 genome assembly, contig: Ga0192381_102
GCACCCGUAGCUCAGCUGGAUAGAGCGCUGCCCUCCGAAGGCAGAGGCCAGAGGUUCGAAUCCUCUCGGGUGCA